ACACUGCUGAGGAGUCCUACAGUAGAACGAAACAGUUGUCCAGUGU
rfam:Schistosoma curassoni strain Dakar, Senegal genome assembly, scaffold: SCTD_scaffold0000073